AUUGAACGCUGGCGGCGGGCUUAAUACAUGCAAGUCGAGCGAGCGGCGGAAGGGUGAGUAAUGUCUGGGAAACUGCCUGAUGGAGGGGUAUAAGUACUGUAAACGGUAGCUACUACCGCAUACCAUCAGAUGUGCCCAGGUGGGAUGAGCUAGUCGGUGUGGUAAUGGCUCACCUAGGAGACGAUCCCUAGCUGAUCUGAGAGGAUGACCAGCCACACUGGAACUGAGACACGGUCCAGACGCCUACGGGAGGCAACAGUGGGGAAUAUUGGACAAUGGGCGCAAGUCUGAUGCAGCCAUGCCGCGUGUAUGAAGAAGGCCUUCGGGUUGUAAAAGACUUUCAGUCGAGAGGCGUUACCGACAGAAGAAGCACCGGCUAACUCCGUGCCAGCAGCCGCGGUAAUUC
rnacentral:rRNA from 1 species